AUUGAACGCUGGCGGCAUGCCUUACACAUGCAAGUCGAACGGUAACAGGUCUUCGGAUGCUGACGAGUGGCGAACGGGUGAGUAAUACAUCGGAACGUGCCUAGUAGUGGGGGAUAACUACUCGAAAGAGUGGCUAAUACCGCAUAAUGUCCACGGACCAAAGUGUGGGACCUUCGGGCCACAUGCUAUCGGAUGCGCCUACGUGGGAUUAGCUAGUUGGUGAGGUAAUGGCUCACCAAGGCGACGAUCCCUAGCUGGUUUGAGAUGAUGAUCAGCCACACUGGAACUGAGACACGGUCCAGACUCCUACGGGAGGCAGCAGUGGGGAAUAUUGGACAAUGGGCGCAAGCCUGAUCCAGCCAUGCCGCGUGUGUGAAGAAGGCCUUCGGGUUGUAAAGCACUUUCAGUAGGGAGGAAGCGUUGUGUGUUAAUAGUACACAGCGUUGACGUUACCUACAGAAGAAGCACCGGCUAACUCUGUGCCAGCCGCCGCAGUAAAAC
rnacentral:rRNA from 1 species